AAGAAAAAAAAGGCAGUGACACUCAAUAUUUUAGGUCCGUGGAGUACUGGAAGCUUCCGCGAUGUACUCUAGGGUCAAAUCCCCUGACGGAAACCUCGUGACCAGGAGGAGGUUUUCCUCUUCUCUGGAGUUCCCCUCCUGUGGUCAGAACAAUGGGAUCUAGACAUCAGAAGUCAAAUGUUUGGUGUUGGCUGUGUUACCAGAUGAUCUUGGGUCAAUUUCUUUGCCCACAGGUAGCACAGUUCUUUGUGAAACUGAGCUUGCAGGGCAGCAUUUUUCAGAGUGAUCAUGACCCGUCUACAUUAGAAUCACGUGGGGUCCUCAAGCGUGAAUGGUACACGGUUCCAUCCAGCUGGGCUGCAUCAGAAUCACCGGGGCCCAGGAAUCUGCUUUAACAACAUCCCAAGAGAUUAUAGGUCACUAAAGCUUGUGAAUGGCUAUUGGAGGGAAUUGCUAAAAGGUUCUGUAUCGACAGCUCUAGGUUAUAGAUGAGGAAGCUAAGGUAUCAGGAGAUCUUUCCAAAGAUUCAAGAGCAAAUCCUCAGUGGAACUGAAGCUAAUUGAAUCAUUAUUAAUAGCUGGCAUUGGCCUAGAGCCUUAAGAAUAGGAAGGCCGACUCACCUACAUUACUGCACUGAUUGUGACAAUUCUAUGAGGGGGCACACUUUAUAGGUGAGGACACUGGGCUUCUGGACAAUACGUGAUGGGUGCAACAUCACGCAACAAGGGAGAAGCCAUCUCGGGGCUUGCGCUGGGACCUCCCGCCGUCACUGCAAGUACUUGUUCACUGCAGGCAGCAUCGUACCUUUCACUAUGCCAUGCGUACCAGUGGCCAUUCUCAAAGCUUUGUUCGCCAGUAAUCCCGAGUGCAUCUUCUUCUGAAGAUAGGAAAAUCGUGGUCCAUACAAGGAGUAGGACAGGCGACUGAUAUUCGCGAUGAGUAGAGCAUAGGGCAUGUUUGUGCCAUCAAAUCCUGUCGUCACAACUGAAUGUGUGACCCCAGGUGGAUUAAUUUCUCAAGCCUCAAUUUUCCAAUCUGUGAAAUGGGGAUAGUGACACCCACCUCAGGGUGCUGUUGAAAUGCUAUAGCAUGGAUGCUAUGAAAGACCAAAGGAGGAAGGAAAUUUACUUAAAUUCGUAGAAUUCUGGCUCCACCAUUCGCCAGGUAAGAAGCUUACCUACUUCAGAGGGUUUUGAAAGAAACCCUGUUAACCUGAGCAGCACGCAGAUUAGGGCCUGAGACCUCAUGAGUGUUCAGCAUUAUUGGCUAUUUUUAUAACCCAGUAGCACCAGAUCCUAAGAGAAUAAGUGGUGGGGAAUUCUGACUCAAUGUGAUAGUUCUAAACUUUCAGGGGGUUAUAACAUCCUUUAAAGACUGCCUAACUUUAUGAUCAUGUGCAUUUAAAAAUGCGAUAAAGCAUAAAAUUAUUCUCAAAAAUCAAAGCGAUUCUUUAUUUUGAAAAUUCCAUAUAGCCUGAGUCAUGGAAUGGCAUUGGAGCUCUUCUAGUUUUAAGGCCCUAAUCUCACUAGUGACUGAAAGGCAAGCAGGCAGGCAUCUAUUCUCCUCUAGGCGCUUUUUGUCUUGCUUUUUUAGAAUUCAAAUGAAAAUCAUUUACAUGCGAAUUCUUCUGUCACUGAGGACUUUGAACAAGAUUUUGUCUUUAGUUGUGACAUUUACCCAAGUAAAUACGAAAACCACACUGCCUCACACACGCACUCCAUUGGUUCAUCUCAAAAGAAUCCUUAUUUGACUUUCAGGUGAAGUGCAAGAGGUCAAGGAAUUACUGAUGUUGAUGGAUUAAUGACCAGUUAGGAGUUGUAAAAACAGAAAAAGGGAAGAACACUUCAAUGAGAUUUCUGCCCAUAAAAGCUCCCUGAAAGAGUGUAAAAAAGAAAUGGAGAUGGUGACGUGACUUAUUUUUAGAAGGGAACAGAG